rnacentral:lncRNA from 1 species
GUAGACGUGGCAGACAGAAAUCUAAACAUCACCCAAAGCAGUGAAGUCCCAGGCAUUAAUCUUCAACAAAUAUUUAUUGAAAUCUGGCAGUCCAGACAUGCUUAUUCCAGGAGAAGCUGACAAGUAAAAGAGGGAGAAAGAGAGACAGGCAUGCGACCAAGCACAGUUUAUUUUCACAAGCUGCAUGCUAGCGAACAAAGACCUAGGAGAGCACAUCAAAAAAGGCAAUAUGUUCUGGCUGGGGGCUUGGAGCAGUCUGGAAGAACUCACAGAAGUGAUGACAUUCAAAGAAGGCCUGAGGAAGUAAAGAAAUUCACCGGGCAGAGAAAGAAGGGAAGGACAUUUUACAUCAGAGUGGGAACAGCACGAGCAUAUCAUGGCAGCGAAGAGCAUAUGGCACUUUUAUGAUAGAACGUAAGAUGCAGAGGUGGGAAGGUGGCAGAGGACAUUCAAAAGUGACGUUGCAGUCAUAUUCUGAGGGAUCUGACAGAUGAGCUGUUAAGAAAUAUGGACUCUGUUCUAUCAGUAUUAUGAAAUCAUUGAAUCAUUCAUUCAUUGAAAUGGUAUUUUCGGAGGACUUACUAUGUGCUAAGUACUGUGUCAGCCUCUGAAGAUUAAAAUAAAAAGGAAGGCCCUCCAGGGACUCACAGUCUGGUAGGGAGAAAGGCAGGCAAACAGUCACAGUACGGAUAGCUGAGAAGUCCGUAUCAUUUUCAAUGCUACCAAUGGAUGACUGGAAGAAAGGAAAGAAUUGGCAGUUUGGACUUCACGCUAGGGUAAGAAAACUUAAUGUCUUCUCUUCAGAAAUUUUCAAGGUAACAUUACAUAAUGUGUUCUUAUUUUUUGCAGUCAAAUGAGGUGCAAUAGAUCUCUUGAACUUAUUCCUCCUGCCUACCUGAAAUUUUGUGUCGUUAGAUCAACAUCUCCCAACCUCCCCACCCCAAACCUCUGGUAACCACCAUUUUGUCCUCUCUUCCUAUGAGAUUGACUU